GACGAACGCUGGCGGCGUGCCUAAUACAUGCAAGUUGAGCGCUGAAGGUUGGUACUUGUACCAACUGGAUGAGCAGCGAACGGGUGAGUAACGCGUGGGGAAUCUGCCUUUGAGCGGGGGACAACAUUUGGAAACGAAUGCUAAUACCGCAUAAAAACUUUAAACACAAGUUUUAAGUUUGAAAGAUGCAAUUGCAUCACUCAAAGAUGAUCCCGCGUUGUAUUAGCUAGUUGGUGAGGUAAAGGCUCACCAAGGCGAUGAUACAUAGCCGACCUGAGAGGGUGAUCGGCCACAAUGGGACUGAGACACGGCCCAAACUCCUACAGGAGGCAGCAGUAGGGAAUCUUCGGCAAUGGACGAAAGUCUGACCGGGCAACGCCGCGUGAGUGAAGAAGGUUUUCGGAUCGUAAAACUCUGUUGGUAGAGAAGAACGUUGGUGAGAGUGGAAAGCUCAUCAAGUGACGGUAACUACCCAGAAAGGGACGGCUAACUACGUG
rnacentral:rRNA from 1 species